rnacentral:rRNA from 1 species
GUUAAUGACAUUUUCCUCUUUAAUGAAAUUAUCGGGCAUCUUGGUCUGCUAGAAUUGCCUCUAAAAGGAAGGAGUUUUGCCUUGUCCAAUAUGCAGGAGAAACCAGUGUUGGAGCAGCUUGAUUGGUUUUUCACAACCUCUGACUGGAUUUCUUUCGACCCUAACAUGGUUGUACUCCAAAUGGCAAAAACAUGCUCGGCUCAUAGUCCCUGCGUCGUUUCCAUCUACAGAAACAUACCAAAAGCUAGUGUUUUUCUAUUUGAAUAUUUCUGCGUGGACAUGCCGGGCUUUAUGGAACGUGUCCGUAAAUCUUGGGAAGCACUGGUUUUUUCAAACCUUUCUUCAUCAAAAGUCCUUUCAACAAAUUUUAAGCACAUGCUAUAUGAUCUGAAAGCUUGGAGCAGGAGCCUAUCAUACAUCAAGAAGCUCACGAUGGACUCUUGCCAUGUCAUUUUAGACUUUGAUAAUUUGGAGGAGCUGCACCCACUCACCAUGCCCGAAUUUAACUUCAGGAAAAAUGUCAAGCAACGUCAUGAUCUCCACUUCUAUUUGUCAUUGCUGCAGAUCUUUUACACAUUGUGGUUAAUGAUAUGUUGGCCAGAGAAAUUUUAA